UACGCGUGCGUUCCCAGAAGGAGACGAGCC
rnacentral:piRNA from 1 species